UCCCGAUAGUCCAUUUGAUCCUACAUCCGUUUUAUCAGCAUCUGUUUAUAUGCUCUUAUUACCGGGUCCAUGACUCAGUCAAAAUUUCUGUCCUCUGUUUUAGUCCUCUGUUGGCACAGAGAAUAGCAGGACCAAAUAGUUCGGAACACAGAGAUCAUGACAUGGAAUUGCAGGACCCAUUAGUUCAGAACACAGAGUUCAUGACAUGGAAGUGCUUCCACGGAGCAAGGGAGGCCGGCAGACUCAAAGCAGAAUAUACGCUGACUUUUGUGCUACUCUGGUCUUGCCGACCCUACAUAUUUAAAGAGAAGACUGACAGGUUCAUCACAUUGGGAAAGCCAUUCCCAAUCCCCUCACCUCAAAUCUGAUGGAGAUAAAUGUCUUGGCAAUUAAUCUGUUAAUAACUGCUCGUAAGUAAUAUAUUUUUUUCGGGGUGUGACAAAGUAUUUUUAUGGCCCAAUUCUUCAGCGGGAUGCUGCGAAUCCUUAUCCAACUGUCCAGUUGGUGGACAGUGACUGGAAGAUCAGUUUUACAAGAAAUGUUGUAAUCCUGGUCAGAGGUUAGCCUAACCCUAAAAUACCAGUUGUACAUUUGUAACAUCUUAUUUUUCAUGUAUUUAUCUUUUAUCAAAUGGGAGCUUGGGACCAAACAAUGAA